rnacentral:rRNA from 1 species
AUGGCAGUCAAGCUGACUAAUAACAAAUGGGUGGUCACAGGUGUUGUUGCAGACCACAAUCAUAGACUGAUUGAGAAGCCAUCUCUCACUAAAUACCUCCGCUCUCACCAAGGCAUCCUGCCGGAAGAGGUUGAGUUCCUAGAAAUAUUGCAUAGGUGCAACAUGGACACAGGUCGCAUGAUGACUGUUAUGUCUGAAUUCUAUGGCCAAGCUGCAAUUGUUCCGUACACGACGAAAAUGAUAAGCAACAUGAGAACUAGCCUUCGCAGUGCUGAGGCAAAUGAAGCUGACUUGGCUGAGAUAGUUGCCUACUUCGAGAAAAAGCAGGAAGAAGACCCAGGCUUCUUCUUAAAAAUCAAAAGAGAUGGGAUAGGCAGGGCUGAGAAUUUGUUUUGGGUUGAUGGGAGGGCUCGAGAGGCCUACAUAAAAGCUUACAAUGAUUGUAUCUCUUUUGACACAACCUACUUGACGAAUAUGUAUAACAUGCCCUUUGCUCCAUUUAUUGGCAUGAACAAGCAUGUGCAGUCUUUCAUGCUGGGGUGUGGCUUCUUGCGGCAAGAGCUUGAGACCAGCUUUGAUUGGUUGUUUGGGGCCUUUCUUGAAGCGAUGCAUGGCAUUGCACCGCUCAACAUCAUAACUGACCAAGAUCAGGCGAUGAAAAACUCUAUAGCAAACAUGUUCCCACACGCAGUUCACCGUAGUUGCCGCUGGCAUAUCAUUAAGAAAGCCCAAGAGAAGUUGGGUGCUUACUUGGCUAGGCAUCCUGAGCUAGCUAAAGAACUCAAUGAGGUGAUAGACUUGAGCAUGACUCCUGAGGAGUUUGAGGUGAGGUGGGCUGCUAUGGUUGAGAAGCAUGGUAUUGCUGGCGAUAAACGCUUUGAUGAUCUCUAUGCAAUCAAGCAUCUUUGGGUCCCCUGCAACUUUAGGAAGUGUUUCUUCCCAUUCCUGCAGUCGACUCAGCGUAGUGAAGGCUUCAAUGCUGUCCUAAAAAGGUACGUUAACCCACAAAAUUCUGUGCUCAACUUUGUGAAGCAAUAUGAGAAGAUAAAUGACAAGAUCUUGGUGAAAGAAGGGGGUAAUGAUUACCGAACAGAUGAGCUUGAGCCAAGGCUUUGGUCCCUGUUCCCAAUUGAGAAGCAAGCAUUGCGAGUUUACACAAGGGAUAUAUACUACAGGUUCCAACAUGAGUUUUCUUUGAUUGGCAUGUAUAAUGUUAGGCCUCAAGGCGGCAACAUGUACCUGCUUGAGCCUAGCAGAAUUUAUGCAGGGAUUUAUGGGCGUAGAUUGUACAUGGUAACAGCGCAGGUUGAUCAGCAACACUAUGGCUGUGAGUGUUGCAAGUUUUACAGGGAUGGGCUGCUUUGUGUCCACAUCUUGAAAGUGUUCACCCACCUUGGUGUUGAUGAGAUCCCUGAGCGUUACUACUGCCUAGAUGGACUCAGAACGCUAUUCUUACUGAUAUGCCCCCUAAAACACAAGUCCCUGAUGCCAUGCCUAAAGAGUCUUUGUAGCAAAUAA